GAGAGCGGCGUACGGGUGCGGAACACGUGUGCAACCUGCCUUUAUCAGGGGGAUAGCCUUUCGAAAGGAAGAUUAAUACCCCAUAACAUAUUGAAUGGCAUCAUUUAAUAUUGAAAACUCCGGUGGAUAGAGAUGGGCACGCGCAAGAUUAGAUAGUUGGUAGGGUAACGGCCUACCAAGUCAGUGAUCUUUAGGGGGCCUGAGAGGGUGAUCCCCCACACUGGUACUGAGACACGGACCAGACUCCUACGGGAGGCAGCAGUGAGGAAUAUUGGACAAUGGGUGAGAGCCUGAUCCAGCCAUCCCGCGUGAAGGACGACGGCCCUAUGGGUUGUAAACUUCUUUUGUAUAGGGAUAAACCUUUCCACGUGUGGAAAGC
rnacentral:rRNA from 1 species